rnacentral:lncRNA from 1 species
AAACAUUGUCCAAAGGUCAAGUUUCUUUUUUCUUUUAGAGAGAGAGAGAGAGAGAGAGAGAGAGCUCACCAAGAGUCCUCGCCAGAGCCACCGCACGCCAGGACGUUGCCAAGCUCGUCAUCACCAUCAACCGCAGCUCGAGGUAACCGGAAACCGCCAUGUUUUGAGUUAUGAUUCGGUCGUUUUAGUAAAUCGAUCAUAACUUUCUAACCGUAGUUAAUCUCGUGCAUCCAAGGCCAUCAUCGUGUUCCUCUCGUCAAGACGAAGCCGUAGACACCAACCGCGUCGCGAUCGGAGCCCGGACGAAGCCGUACGCGCUUCCGGAAGUUCGCCUCUGCGGCGCGGAGCCCGGACGAAGCCGUACGCGCUUCCGGAAGUUCGCCUCUGCGCGCGCGUGAGUUCCACGCGCCGCCGCCGGACCACCGUCCUCCGCCGCAGCGCCGCCGCCGGACCACCGUCCCCCGCCGCCGGAAUACCGCCGUCGCCGCCGACAACCGCCGCCGGAAUAUCGCCGUCGCCGCCGGUGACCGACACCGGUGACUCGCCGGCGACUCGGUCAACUCGGCCGAGUCAACUCAGUGAGUCAACUCGGUUGACUCGGUUAACCGAUCGGUUAGCCGGUUUAAAUUGAUUUCGGUUCGGUUAGGGUAAACCGGUCGGUUUAGUCAAAUCGAUUUCUGGUCAAAGCUUGACCGGGUUGACUUUGACCAGCGGGUUGACUUUUCCAAAAACCUUGACCAGUUCCGUUUUCGACCGUUCGAAAGGCGUUCUGACUCAGAAUUUCGAUCUGAUUUCAGAUAUGGAGUCUAUUUGAGCAGCUGGAGUUCAUAGACAACACUUUUCUAUUGCUAAGGUGAGGGUCUAUUCCCAAACUCCUCUUAUUCGGCUUAGGACCUCGAAUAAGUAUAANNNNNNNNNNNNNNNNNNNNNNNNNNNNNNNNNNNNNNNNNNNNNNNNNNNNNNNNNNNNNNNNNNNNNNNNNNNNNNNNNNNNNNNNNNNNNNNNNNNNNNNNNNNNNNNNNNNNNNNNNNNNNNNNNNNNNNNNNNNNNNNNNNNNNNNNNNNNNNNNNNNNNNNNNNNNNNNNNNNNNNNNNNNNNNNNNNNNNNNNNNNNNNNNNNNNNNNNNNNNNNNNNNNNNNNNNNNNNNNNNNNNNNNNNNNNNNNNNNNNNNNNNNNNNNNNNNNNNNNNNNNNNNNNNNNNNNNNNNNNNNNNNNNNNNNNNNNNNNNNNNNNNNNNNNNNNNNNNNNNNNNNNNNNNNNNNNNNNNNNNNNNNNNNNNNNNNNNNNNNNNNNNNNNNNNNNNNNNNNNNNNNNNNNNNNNNNNNNNNNNNNNNNNNNNNNNNNNGACUUUUAUCGUUUAUGUUAUUCCUAUUUCAGACUUUCGGUUUAUGUCGUAUUUUAUAUUUCGGAUGUUAUCGAUGUUGGGCUUUUAGGCCUUUUGGUACCGUAUUGACUUUUAUAUUAUGAUAUGAAGAUUAUUAUUAUUUUAUUUCCGCUUUUAUCAAUUUAUUAUAUUUCGAAAGUGGCGGGUGUCACAAUUUAGUGGGUCCAAGUAUCUAAUUUCAUUUGUAUCUAGAGCCGUAAACUGGGCGAGCCCAUGUCCAUUAGUCUAUAUCCAUUUGUCCAUUUAUUAUUUGCGGAUAGAGAGUGACCAUGUCCAUUAAGAACCAUGUCCAUUAAGGACCAUACCCACUAACACCCAUAUUUUCAUGGGCUGUCAUGGGAUUCAUAAUGACCAUAUAAAAAAUUUAAAUUUUAAUUUAUAAGCCUACAAUUAUAUAUACAAGUUCAUAAAAUUAAAAUUCAUCCAUAAAUUCAAAAGUACAACAAUACAUAAGUUCAUAAGUACAACAAUUCCGGUCUUGGCGGAAAAAUCGAUUUUGCGGUUUUGGCGGAAAAACUUAAUUUUGCAGUUUUGACGGGAAACUCGAUUUUGCAGUUUUGGCGGAAAAACUCAUUUUUCGGUUUUGGCGGAAAACUAGAUUUUUUGAUUUUGGCAGAGAAACUCGAUUUUUCGGUUUUGCCAUGGGGUCCAUAAUGGCCAUAUAAGAAAAUUUUAUUUUAUAAGCCUACAAUUACAUAUACAAGUUCAUAAAAUUAAAAUUCAUCCACAAAUUCAUAAGUACAAUAAUACAUAAGUUCAUAAGUACAACAAUUUCGGUUUUGGCGAGAAAAAUCGAUUUUUCGGUUUUGACAGGAAAACUCGAUUUUCCGGUUUUGACGGAAAAAAUUGAUUUUGCAUUUUGAAGAAAAACUCAAUUUUGCGAUUCUGACGGAAAAACUCAAUUUUCUGGUUCUGGCGGGAAAAUUUGAUAUCAAAAUUUAAGCGAAAAAUCGAUUUUACGAUUUUAGCGGAAAAACUUAAAUUUUAGAAACCCUAGGUUUUGUGACCAUUGGACAAUCCACGUCCAUAAAGCCCAAAACCAACAAAGACCAUUUUCUUAAUGGUCUUCCACAUUUUAUCCAAUAAAACCCAAUGGGAAAAAGGGUUUGUCCAUAUUAAACCCGUUUAUAUAUGGACAUGGACAAUCAUUGGACGACCCGCCCAUUUGACACCUCUAUUUGUAUCUUACCCUCAGGUGUGUGCUGCCCCCACUGAUGAAAAUAGGCUUAAUAGUGGCGAUUUGAGAAACGGGAAUAGCUACCCUUAGUAAGUCUUAUCAAUACUCACUGAAGCAUACUCCCUCUAUCCCCUUCCUGAAAUAUGAAUUUUCUACUGUUUUCAUGUUUACAACUAAAUCUGUUAGUUCUCUCUAUUUCACUCUUUCUAAUAACUAUCAAUCAAUAACAUUUAAUUAAUUUAAUAUUUUAAUUAAUAUUUUUUUAAAAAGUUUGCAAUUUAUUAAUAUUAAUUAAUGAAAUGUAUUUUAAAAUUUUAGAAAAUCUAUUUUUAUGGAAAAAAUGAAAGUUUUUGGCAACACAGGGCGUACAAUAUUACAAUAUAUGGAAGAUUAUAUUAUUUUAACUUUGAACUGUUAACCCUUUAGCUGGCCAAAACUCGUAAUCGACGGUCCAUAUGGAGCACCAUCACAAGACUACAAGAACUUCGAAGUUGUUCUACUAGUGGGUCUAGGAAUCGGAGCUACUCCUAUGAUCAGCAUUAUCAAGGACAUAAUCAAUAACUUGAAAGUCAAUACUGGAGAUGAAGAAGAAGGAAGAGGCAGUAACCGGAACCACAACGUGGUCACACCUCCUCCUAUUUCUCCUGCAAGAAAGAGAGAGAUGUUCAUAACCAAGAGAGCAUACUUCCACUGGAGCACAAAAGAGCAAGGAACUUUUGACUGGUUCAAGAACGUGUUGGACGAAGUGGCCGAAGCAGAUGUUAACAACGUUAUAGAGCUGCAUAAUUACUGCAGCAGCAUCUACCAAGAAGGAGACGCGAGGUCCGCACUGAUCACGAUGCUCCAGUCGCUGUACCACGCCAAGAACGGAAGGGACAUUGUGUCGGGAACACGUGUCAUGUCCGAAUUCGCUAGGCCAAAAUGGAGGAGCAUUUACAAAAGGAUCGCUGUGAAGCAUCCCUACACCAGAGUUGGUGAGUUUCUUAGUCAAUCUUAUCUUAUUGCUUCUUCUUAUGCAUAUAUAAUCUGAAUGCAGAAGAAUUUGAAAGUUUGGUGUAUUUGGCAGGAGUGUUUUAUUGCGGACUAGCUGGAGCAGUGAAGGAGCACCAAGAUUUGGCAAAGGAAUUCUCUCAUAAAACCUCCACCAAAUUCUGUUUCCAUAAAGAAAAUUUCUAGAAAUUUACGUUUUCUGAUAUAAUGUAUUGUACACAUGGUGUGAGUUAAUAUUUUCUUUUACUGUAAAGUUAAAGUUAAAAACUCUUAAAUUAUCUACUUGUAAGUCAUCUCUUACUUUAAUUUCCGUUGGAAUGAAUCUUUUUCUUAAAAAUAAGGAUUUUUAAUGUUAAAAUCUCUCACUAAGUUUGUUUUGGAUAAAAACACUCAAACUAAUUAUUUGACGAAAAAAUCCUCAAACUAACUUUAUUUAACGAAUUAAACUUUUGCAGAUCAUAAUUAUCAUUACUACCGGUAAAUCUUUAUUUUAGGGGUUUUUACAUUAAAUAAACAUAACUGAGGGGUUUUACCAUUAAAAUUAUCUAAAAAUUUACAUGUAAUAAAAUUACUAAAAGACUAAAAAUGUAAAAACAAGAAAAUAUAAUAUAUAACUUAUAUCAUAUCUAACAAAAAUGUAAUAAUAAAUCUUUAGAUAAUUUGUAUUAUAUUUUCUCGGUUUUUAUAUUAUUAAUUUAUACAUAUAUAAUGUUGAUGUUAAAAACACAUCAAACUCAUAUAUUUAUUAAAAAAAUGCUAAUUUUGAAAAAUUAAGUUACUAAUUUUUAGAUAAUAUUAUAAAAAAAUUAAUUUUUUUGGUUUUUAGAUUUUUAAUGGUAUAACCCCUUAACUAUGUUUACACAAUGCAUAGACCCCUCAACUAUGUUUACUUAAUGUAGAACCCCCUAAACUAAAGAAUUAUCGAUAGUAAUGGUAAUUAUGACCUGCUAGAGUUUAAUUCAUUAAAUAAAGUUAGUUUGAGAUUUUUUUCGUUAAAUAUUUAGUUCGAGUGUUUUUACCCAAAAUUAAUUUAUGAUAGUUAGAUUUGGCCAGAGGAGUUAGGUAUGGGGGGUUUUACCGAAAUCCCGACAUUAGCUCGAACCGGAAAAAAAAACUGAAACCUGAUCUGAAUGUUAUAUUUAAAUGGCAUUUAAGAUCUAUUUAUUUUUGGGUCCAGAUACAAUCCAAAACGAAAUCCUAAAUAGAAUCUGAAAAUAGCUUAAAUUAGUUAAAAUUUUUAAUCUUUUUAUAUAUAUGCUAAGGAAAAAUUCACAGGACCAGGUAGUCAGUUACAUAUUUCAUGAGGUACUUCAAAAUAUAUAUGUAGGCUGUAACUGUAGACUGUGGAUGGAUUUUUGGAAUAAGUAUUAUACUGUAUAUAAAUUUAUAUUUAACUAACUCAUAAUACAUUAUAAUCAACGGGAAAUUAGUGAAAUGUCACUACUAAAUGAUAAUUUCAAAACAAUCCCCAAAAAUUUGUUAAGAAAUAUAUGUUUUCAGAAAUACUAUUCUAUGAAUUAGUUUAUAUGAAAUGCUUUUAUAAGUUUAUAAACAUUAAUAAUUUUACUUUAUUUUCAUUGUCACUUUAUAAGAAAUUAUAUAUAUAUAUAUAUACAUGUUAUACAAUUUAAAAAAGAUUUUGGUAAUGUUUCUUGUAAAACUCUAUAUAUGACUUUAAAUUAUUUUUAUAACUUGAUUUGUUAAAAAUAAAAUUUAAUUUUACAAAUGAUCACAAGCGCAUAAAACUCGUAUUUUUUGAAAAAAAUGAUAUUUCGGAGACAGUAUCAUAAAAAUUAUUUAUUGUUAAUUGUAUAUUACAAAAGUAACAAAACCAGCUGAACAUUUCACAAGAAAAUGUCUUUUUAACAUGCCUGAAUAUAUAUGCUAUUUGACUGAACUGUGUAACAAAUAUACAUUUGAACUGUGUAAGAAGUUUUAUUGAUCUUUUUGUGGAUGGUCAGUGAGACGAUGGCCAGGUAUUUAGUUUCAUUCAUCCUUUAUAUAUUAAUUGAAAAUCAUUACAACAUUUUUUUUGUAGCCACAUGUCAUCAUAAGAAUGAUUCUUAGAAUCCUUAGAAAAAUAUGUUGGUUCAUCUAAAUAUAUACUAAGCUUUUUAUUAAACUAAUCAUAAAUACAUUAAAACUCUAUUAAAGUUUUCAAGCUUUGUUUUCCGGAUCUGAAGCUGAUGACACCUGUUAUUACUCUCGUGGUCACAGAUGCUCAGUCGCAGGUUGUCGGAACUGUUCUCUUCUCCGGGGGUUCCUGGAAGGCUUGCACUUGUGCAAGUUCACCCUUUCACCUUGGUCUCUAUACUGGGAUACUCUCUCUUCUAAGUUCCAGAUCUAUCCGUCUAAACCUUCGUUGCUCCUUAUCUAUGCUCGGAAAACGGUAUGCCGUUCUUACCGUUGACGGCAGCUCAGCCUCUCACGUGGGUGCAGAUCUCGACUUAAUGUGGUCCUUCUCGAGUGCUAAUCUUCUAUCCGGCGAUUGCGUAACUGACGUCAGCCCUUCAACUCUCUCAGUUUGGUCCUGGCCCAAGAUAAAAUUUCAUGUUGUAGAUGUAGAUCUGGUCAUCGGUGGUUGUGGGGUCUCACUUCUAUCACGGCGACCAGAGCUGGAGUCACGAGACCCGUUCUCCAUCUUCAUUCCGGAAGUGUUUUGUCUUGGCAGUCACCCCCUCUGCCCCGACGAGGACUAUGGACCUUCUCCGAUCUGUCUCAUUAGUCAUCCCAAACCUUCUUUGUCAGGGCGAGCAAGUUUUGCGAGUUUCGACGACUGGGGGAUCCCACCGCGAAGACGACCUGCAGCUAUACACACUAACGACUGCUCAUCCUCUUUAAGCUUGUUAAGCUUCAUAGACCUGAGGCUCAACUCUGUUUUGGGUAAACUCUCUUGGCUCCAAUACAGUAAUGUUGAAGCGGAAAGUUCAUGCAUGAGCUCAGUUAUUGCCUUCAUGGAAUCCAUCGUUAAGCUCAAUCCUCUUUCAGCCAGUGUGAAGCCACAAAUGGCAGGAUCAGAAGGAUAUACUUUCCUCCUUGGUGCAAUCUUUGGAGGUUUUCCAAAAUGUUCAAGCAUAGCUCACCAUCAAAGUUCAACUCCAACAAGAGCAAAUACCAAGGGAUUUCUAUUCUUAAGUUGGAGUCUAUCAAAGCUUGAAGAUUGUAGUCCCUUAGCAUUUUUCUUAAUAAAGGCUAGCCAAAAUUCCUCAUGUCGGGGCCAUGAGAGACCUCUUUCAACCAUCCUCCGCUUUGUUGGAGUGAUAACUUCCAUCAAAACCCCUCUUUGUGAGAAGGACUCUGUCUUUGGCUAUGUAGUCAAUGAACUUUGUCGAUAUCCUGACCGUUUGAUGCCUUAUGUGAUGGUUCGUUUGGAACCGGAAGGCACAACGAUACUCAUUCCUAUGAGAAUCGAGGUUACGGAGCACUUAACGUCACGAUAUACGGUGACUAUUUCCGUUGAAAAACUUGAAGGACGACGUAAUCUCUUUAGGAGGUUACUAGUUUGUGGCACCUUUGAACUUUCUUUUGACUUGUUAUCAGGCUUGUCAAAGCUUGUGUCGCUAUCUUUGUAUUGCCUUAUAUUAAAUGUAUUCAGUAGAAUCGCACAUCUACUGUUGGAUGUUGCUUUUAUCUUUGUAAUCGGCGGAAGUUUAUGAAUGAAAUAUGUUGUGUUCAAAAAAAAAACCAUAAAUACAUUAUUAAUGUGUUUCAUUAUUUCCUUAAAUAAAAUUACAGAAUUGCUUAAUGUGGCUAAAGUAUAUAUGACAAUUAAUGAUUUUGAAUAAUAAAAAUUUGAUAAAAAAUAAGUGUAUCUUAUAUUAUAUUUUUUUAAUUUUAAACUAUUAAAAUAAAUUAAACAACCAUAUUAACCAUAUAAUAAAAUUUUAGAUUUUCUGUAUAUGUUAUAUUUUGAAUUUUUUAAAACGAGUAUAAAUUACUAAAACUGUUAAAAGUCUCACAUUCAAGUUUUGUGAUCCAUGAUUUAAAAUUUUUGUUAUGACAUGAUACAAAUGAUUACAAAAUCACAUAAGUCGAAAGUCUCAUUUAAAAAGUAUUAAAAUUAAAAGAUAUAUAAAUAUAUAUAUAUCAUUUUAAAUUAAACUAUAUGCCAUAUAAAAAUACAUAAAUAUUCUAAUUUUGAAAUAUACUUUGAACAAAAAACAGUUUUUUUUUUUUUUUUGUAACUGUGGUUCAGGUUUUUUACUUUUCCAAUAAAGGAGAUGUUACAGGUUGUAAAGUCAAAUACGUUGGUUUACCCCUCCAAAGAAAAUUCUAUUAUUAUAUUCUUGCUAUUUUAAAAUUUACCUAAAGUUUUUGUUUUGAAACACUUUUUGAAACACAAAAAUAAUUUACCUAAACUACAUAUUAUGUUUGAAUGUAAAUUUGCUAGAAACAACUAUAAGAGAAUUAAGUUAAAAAAAACAACUAUAAGAGAAUUUUCAUAAUGAGAUAUGUCAUUAUUGUAGACGGGUUUCGAAUGCUAUAAUUCAUGAAAACUCAUAAUUCAUAUUAUAAAGAUGUAAAUGUAAUGAUGUGAUAGUUGUCUGAGUAACGCUCAUAUUUUUUUAAAAGGUCAAGUCAAUGUUCAAAACAAAAAUAUUCCAUAUUCUUUUACAACUAAUUUCUUGUAAGUGAUUGGAGAAUAGAAAAUGCUAUGUGGGUUGAGUACUUAACUAAAUUAAACGACCGAUUAAUUAGUUAAAAAUGACUUACAUUUCGAUGAUUGAAUAGAUGCAGUUAACAUAAGGUAAUAUAAUAAUAUCUGAGGAUAAAAAAAUAAAUGAAAAUUUGAAUAUGCUGAUCAUAUUUUUAUGAUAUGUAACGUGGGCAAUCCGCGGGAGAUCGACUUGAUCACGAAGAAAUUACAAAAUAAGGUUUGCAUAUAAUAUUCAGUAGCUCAUCUCUUUCGUUUUCACCAUUCUAAAACUAUUCGCUCAACAUUGCUUAUUUAUAUCAGACGCGCAAACAUCUCUAAAGACAGAAGUUGAAACUAAAGUUUUCUCAAGAAAGAAAAAAAAGAGUUGAGUAGUCCAACUAACAUGCAAACGGUAGGGUUUUGAAGGAUAUGUGAGUGAAAUAUUGAUUGGUGAUCAUGCUCCGUAGUGGAUAUAACCAGUUCUUCUAUGUAAUGAUAAAAAUAAUCUGUAAUGGGUUCUUCGUGUCACGAAUUAUCUGCGUGAAGGGUUUUUGUUUCCAUAUCGAAACGUGACUGACGGUGAUUGGAAAUUUGGAAUAGCUAGUGGUUAUAUUAAAAUAACAUACACGUGUUAUUUAUUAGUAUUUGUCUUUGUCGCUGUCGUGUAUGUGUUUGAAAUUUUGUAACUUUUCUAGAAAGAAGAAAUGAGAAAAUGCGUGUGUAUAGAAUUUGCUACGCAUUUAAUUAAUCGUGUCUGCUGCGAGUUUUGUGGGUGGGGAUUUACUGCACUGCGUUUGACUUUUGACUUAAUGCUUCGAAUGGUAAAAGCAGUUCAAGCGGAACAGAUCAAGCAGAUCAUGAAGAUCAAGCAGAACAAGUGCAGAUCAAGCGGGACAAGUGCAGAUCAAGCGGAUCAAGCAGGAGAGAACCAGAUCAAAUAAUUUAUUAUAACUUAUGAAUGACAAAACGAGUUUAACACUAUAGAUCAUAUAUUAAAACAAAAAAUGACACUUAGAUAUCUAAACAAAUAUCUUAGAUGUUAUAGAAUCGGCUGAAAUGUAUGUAAAUGUUUUAUAAGAUACUUAUACUUCUUUUAUUUUCUUAUUUAUAAAAAUUAAAAAUUAUAUGACAAAAAAUAAUAAGUAGAAAAUGAUAAUUUUGUAUUGUUAAAAUUGUAAAUAAAAUAAAAUAAAAAUAUUGUAUUAAAAAAUAAUAUGUAGAGAAUGAUAAUUUUAUAUUGUUAAAGUUGUAAAUGAAAUAAAAUAAAAAUAUUGUAUUCAUAAAACUAGAUAAAUAUAUUUUUAAAGUUAUGUGUUGUAAUAAAGUUAUUUAUUGAUCAAACAAAAAAAAAAGCAGACCAACACCACUAAAUGUUGGCGAGUAAGAUCUGCAUGCAGAUCUCCUGUUUUUUUACAAAAAGACAAAAACUAUUGAACUGCAUACAGAUCUCCUGCUUGAACUGCUUUUACAAACAGAAAAUGGUGAAUGGUGAAUGCAGUGCGAAAGAACUGCAAUAAAAUAAUUUAUAUAUAUAAUAUUCAUCGCGCGCAAGGCGCGGGUCUUAAUCUUAUUAUUAUUUGUGGUUACUCAUUAGUCCUAUCCAAUUAUAGUUAAUUUCUCUUGUAACCAACUUUCCCAUUUUAACACAUCUACAGGUUUUUAUAAAACUCUUGGUAAGGUAAACCUUGUUUAGGUACAUUAUUGUAGAUUUGUAAUGUACGGGUUUCCAAUGCUAGUUAUUCAUAUUAUGAAAGAUGUAAAUGCAAAGCUGCGCUGUGAUUUCUCUGCGUAGCGUGUCCAUAUUUUAAAAAAGGUUAAGUCAAUGUUCUAAACAAAAAUAUUCCAUAAUUCUUUUUAAACUAUUUUUUUGCAAGUGAUUGGAUAAUAGAAAAUGCUCUGUAGGGUCCGUACUUAUUUAAAAUGACCGAUUAAUUAGUUAAAAAUGACUUACAUUUCAAUGAUAACAGUAGGUGCAAUUAACGUGAGCUAAUAUAAUAGUAUCAGGCGAUAAAAACAAAUGAAAAUCUGAAUAUGCUGAUCAUAACUUGUAUGAUACGCCUGUCAUAUUGGUCGUGGCCAAACCGCGGGAGACUUGGCCACGAAGAAACUACUAACUAAGAUUUCAAUAUAAUAUUCAGUAUACCUUCGCUCAGCGUAGCUUAUUUAUAGCAGAUGCACAAAGCAUCUCUAUAAGACAUAAACUGAAAUAAGAGUUGAGUAGUCCAAGUAACAUGCAAACAUCAGGGCUCAAAAAUGCGACAAUAUACAGAAGACAGUCGUUGAAGAGAACUGGUUACGAGGAAGGUCAUAAAGAGCACACAGAGAUCACGGUCAAUACCAACGAAGAAUGCAACAGCUUGAAGCCAUGCGAGGAUCCUCAGAAGUCACUUCUGAGACAGGGCCAUUCGAUGAAGAAUAGUGUCUCGGUACUGAAACGCAUAGGGUCAACAGUUACUACAACUGUUGCUUCUUUGGCUUCGUUGACGCCGGAGACAAAACCAACGCGUAGGCGGCUGAAAUCCAGCACAGAGCUAGCGCUCAAUGGUCUCAAGUUCAUUACCAAGGCUGAUGGCGUCGCUGGUUGGCCUCGUGUUGAGAAAGAUUUCGAUAGGUUAACCGAGACGACCGGUGGUUCAUUGGACCGUUCCAAGUUCGGUGAAUGUAUAGGUAAGCAUUAACCUCAAGCUGAAACACUUAAUGUGGUUGGAUAAGUUUCCAUUUGGAUUUGGUGAACUUUUGCUGCAGGGAUCAAGUCAAAAGAGUUCGCAGAAGCACUGUUCGACGCCUUAGCAAAGAGGCAAAACAUAACUGGACAUGUAAUAAGCAAGGAUCAGCUGCAAAUAUUCUGGGAGAAGAUCAAUGCUCCGGACUUUGAUUCGAGGCUACGAAUUUUCUUUGACAUGUAAUGUUUCUUGAAACCCUUUUUUAUUCUUGAUUCCUUUAUUAUUAUGAUCCAACACCAACUCUUUAAGUCUCAUAUGUCUGAAUUGUGUUCAGGGCCGAUACGGAUACUGAUGGGAGGUUGAGUAAAGACGAAGUAAGAGAGGUAGACUUUUGAUUCUCAUUGUUAGAAAAAUCUAGAAGAUCUUUGUAAUCUUUGUCGUAAAUAGGUUUCCCUCUUCAUGUACAGAUUAUAGCUCUAAGUGCCUCUGCCAACAAACUGGAUAAGAUUGAAAAACAAGCACGUGAAUAUGCUACUUUGAUUAUGGAAGAACUAGAUCCCUAUGAUCGUGGGUACAUCAUGGUAUGUUUCUGUGAACUGAUGAUAUUUAUUUUGUGAGUGUUUUUCUAACGUGUUUGGAGGCACUUUCUACAAUGCCAAACAGAUAGAGGCUCUCGAGGUACUGCUGUUGCAAGGGAAUACUAAGGCAGUGAGCGAUUUGGUAAGUCAGCAGGUCGAAGUAUCACAGAGUAGGAAUCUCUGGAAGCGUUUGUACAAUGGGGUUAAGUAUUUUGUGUUGGAUAAUUGGAAGAGAUUGUGGGUGAUGGCUCUAUGGAUAGCUGUUAUGGCCGGGCUGUUCACGUGGAAGUUCAUGGAGUAUCGAAAUAGACCGGCUUACCAAGUUAUGGGAGCUUGUGUUUGUAUAGCUAAAGGAGCUGGAGAGACACUUAAACUGAACAUGGCCAUUAUUUUGUUACCAGUUUGUAGGAACACCAUCACUUUGCUCCGGACCAAAACCAAGUUAGGUGUUGUUGUUCCUUUCGAUGAUAACCUCAACUUCCACAAGGUAACUUUAGCUUCCUGGAGUAUUGUUAUCAACUAAUGCAAAUCAACUUGAAGAAAGUAAAGAAACUUAAAGAGCAAAAAAAUUGAGGCAAAUACUCAUUUAUGGUUUGUACAUUGAUUAUGUGAAUAAAUAAAUUUACAAUCUUUUAGAUCCGUAUUUAUAGCUACCUCAAAAAUAAAAAAUUCUUUUUUUCUUUAUGAAAACAUCUUUAUUUAGAAAACGUAAAUUUCCUAAAUCUAGAUGCAAACCACUUAUGGUUGAAUCUUAUACAGGUCACAGCAAUAGCAAUAUCAAUCGGAGUUGGACUCCAUGCCACAUCUCACUUAGCUUGUGAUUUCCCUAGGCUGAUAGCUGCAGAUGAAGAAACGUAUAAGCCAGUGGAGCAGUAUUUUGGAGUACAGCCAAAGAGUUAUGUGCAGUUUUUGAAGUCAGUGGAAGUAGUUACCGGGACUGUCAUGGUUAUAUUAAUGACCAUAGCCUUCACAUUGGCUACAUCAUGGUUCAGAAGAAAUAAGUUGAAGUCUCUUCCUGAACCAUUGAAGAAAAUAACUGGCUUCAAUGCCUUCUGGUACACUCACCAUUUGUUUGUUAUCGUCUACACACUCCUAGUCGUUCACGGAUACUAUGUCUACCUCAUCAAAACAUGGUACAGGAAGACGGUUAGUAACUUAUUAAUCACUAGACCCAAUGUACAAAGUUGUAGCAGAUGAAACAAGUACUCUAUGAUUUUGGUUUUCAUUUGAUUUAAUAGACUUGGAUGUACUUGAUGAUACCGGUGGUUCUUUACCUGUCUGAAAGGCUGGUUCGUUCGCUCAGGUCAAGAAUCGAAUCUGUUAAGAUACUAAAGGUGGAAUUUAUAAACAUUUGUCUGUUAAAAUAUUCAUAUUUACUACAUACUUACCUUAAAUUUUCAACAGAUUGCUGUGUUACAAGGAGAAGUCUUAUUGCUUCAAAUGUCAAGACCAAACAACUUCAGAUACAAAAGCGGACAGUACAUGUACCUCAAAUGUUCUGAUGUGUCUUCAUUAGAAUGGUACUAUAACACAAAUACUCAUAUUAUUUGUAUAGAGACAAACUGAAAAGUGGUUUGCAUAUAAACUGCAGGCAUCCAUUCUCAAUUACAUCGGCUCCAGGAGAUGAUUACCUUAGUGUCCACAUCAGGGAUCAAGGAGACUGGACUAACAAGUUACGAUCAACAUUCUCUGAUGUACGUCACUCCAUUUUUUUUCCUUUUCAUAAAACACUAGAGAUUAAGUGGGUCCAACUAUGUAAGUUCAUUUGUAUGGAUCUGAUCCUCAGGUGUGUUCCCCGGCCAUCCCUGGUAAAAUGAGCGAGCGUAGAGCCGACUUGUGGAACGGGGAUAACCUUUUGUAAGUCUUUUCAAUAAGUUAUUCACUGAAACAUAUUCAAUUUUUACAGUUUUCACUCAUAAUACAAAUAUAAUAAAUAUUCACAACUAACCAUAUUAUUUAUCUACAUUAUACACUUUAUAAUAAUUAUCAACCAUAAUAUUUAAUCAGUUCAACGAUUUUUAUUCAAUAUUUCUUAAAAACUACAAUUUAUUAUUACUAAUUAAUGAAAAAUACUUUAAAAUUUUAGAAAACCUAUAUUUAUGAAAUAAGAAAAAGAUCGAAACAAUUUAUCUUUCGGAAAUGGAAGGAAUAUAAUAUUAUAAUAGAAGGGGAGCAUCAUUAACCCCAAGAGCCAAUUUUGGGGUCUUAAUGAUUUUUUAGUAAUUAAUGAAAGUUAAGAGUUUAUACUUAAGAGACACGUUUUUUUGUAACUUUAAUGGUAAGUUCUUAAUUUGGGGUUCUUAAAAAAAAAUGAUUAAACUUAAUUAUUUUUAAGAUUAAUUAUAAUUAUUAAAUAAAACAUAUUAAAAUAAAACAUUUUAAACAUUAAUUUAAUACAAAACAUUAAAACAAAAUAAGUAAAAAUCACGAUAAUAAUUUGAAAGAUACAUCCGAGCUCAGUUGUCUUCAUAAAUGUCCGAAUUUAGUCCACAUAUGUUCAACCAAAUCAGCUUUUAGUUGUUCAUGCAUUGGGUUAUCACGAAUUCUAGUUCGAGCAUCCAUCAUAUUGGCGAUAUUUGUAGGCAUUUCCCUAUCAAAAUCGAGAUCGACAUGUGAACUUCCGGUGCCUUCUUCUUGUUGGAACUCUUUAAGAUUAUAUUGAGUGUAUCCAUCUCGUUCGUCUUCUACUAUCAUGUUAUGGAGUAUGAUACAUGCUCUCAUAAUCUUCCCAAUUUUGACUUUAUCCCAAAAAAGUGCCGGAUUUUUAACGAUGGCAAAGCGAGCUUGCAAGACUCCAAAAGCCCGCUCGACAUCUUUUCGGACAGCUUCUUGUUGUUUAGCAAAUAAAGCUGAUUUUGGGUCUUGUGGUAGUGAAAUUGAUUGGAUAAAAGUAGCCCAUUUCGGAUAAAUACCGUCGGUGAGAUAGUAAGCCAUGUGAUACUCUCUUUCAUUGACAUAGAAGGUGACUUGCGGAGCUUGACCAUUAAUUAUGUCAUCAAAAACAGGUGAACGAUCAAGAACAUUGAUAUCAUUUAAGGUACCUGGAGUUCAAAAAACGCAUGCCAUAUCCAUAGAUCAUACGAAGCAACCGCCUCCAAAACGAUUGUUGGUUUUCCCGAGCCACGUGAAUAUUGCCCUUUCCAAGCGGUGGGACAAUUCUUCCACUCCCAAUGCAUACAAUCGAUGCUUCCUACCAUCCCGGGAAAUCCACGAGCCUCACCAACAUCAAGUAAACGUUGAAGAUCAGUCGGUGUUGGUCUUCUUAGGUACUCCUCGCCGAAUAAAUAUAUUAUGCCUUCCACAAAAUGUUCCACACAUGACCGAGUAGUAGUUUCACCGAGUCGGAGGUAUUCGUCAACAGCAUCAGCCGCAGUACCAUAUGCCAAGACACGAAUGGAUGCUGUACACUUCUGGAGUGGGGAGAGACUAUUCCUUCCAAGUGCAUCUUGCGUUUGUUGAAAGAAUUCAACCUCAUUGGAGAAUCGAUCAACAAUAUGCAUGAACAAUCGCUUGUUCAUUCUAAAUCGUCGUCGGAAGAAAUUUUCAGGAUAUGUUGGCGUUUCACUGAAAUAGUCAUUCCAUAAACGUAUGUGCCCUUCUUCACGAUGUCUUUCGAUAUAAGCCCGUUUUUUUCUUUGUUUCCUACCUUCUUCUUGAUGACGCAUGGAUAAAGUCUCAAAGGCUUGAUUAAAAUAUUGAUUAAAGUAAUCAUCAAGUGAAUCUUCAAAAUUAUUUUCUGAAGAAGAUGCCAUGUUUGUGAUUUGGUUUGAUCUUGGUUUGGUAAGAACAGAGAAUGUGAUUUGGGUUUGGUAAGAAUACGGGAAGAGGGAAUAUAAGUGUUGAUAUGAAGCUUGGUUUACACGGGAAUAGGGAAUGUGAUUUGGUUUGGUAACAAAGCUUGGUUGUUUCGUUUGGUAAUUAGAGAGAAAGAGAGAACAAAGCUUGGUUGGUUGGUUUUGUUGUGAUAUGUGAACGAGAGAGUGAGAGAUGCUUGAAGGCUUUAUACUACUUGAAAUUGAUUUUAAUACAAAGACAGUCACGGGAACUAGAAAGAGAGCAAAGACAAAAUACAAAAGUCCUUACAAGUCCAUGUGACAUAAGAAACAAAGACAUGUGAAACAAAGACAAUGCAAAAAGAAAGACAAUGCAGAGACAUGUGAAACAAAGACAAUGCAGACACAAAGACAAAGACAAUGCAGACACGGUCACGGACUCAGUACAACAAAGCUGAUCCAUGUGAGAGAAAGACGGUCACGGACUCAGCCUCUUCUCUUCCUCUUACCAUCACCCGUAGAGGAUUGUCCUUCUUCUAGCUUGAUUCCCGCCUUCAACACCUUGAACCUCUCCUCUGUCAGCCUCUUCUCUUCCUCAUGCAUCAUUUGCACCAUCCUUCUGAACUCAGGUGCAAUGUCAUCUUCUUCUUCCUCCACCCUAAUCAAGUACCCCAUACUUCUCCUGUAUUCAUCGCUUGAUAACUCCACGAUAUCGUCUUCUUCUUCAUCUGAUAUCUCCACCACUUCUGCUUCAGUUGGUGGGAUAUCCUCAACAUCAUCGUCUGUAUCUUCUCGUGGGAGAGGUGGUAUGAUGCCUCCUGCUGAGAGGCCACAAAUAAUUGGUUUUCUUGCCUCCAUUUCUGUAUGUGUGUCACUUGUUCCCCUGAAAAGCCAAAAAACAGAAACAGAUGAGAAAAGACAAUACAUAUAAAUAACAUAUCAAUCUAGAUAACACAUCAACUUAUAUAAGACAAUACAUAUAUAUAACACAUCAAUUUCACAGCAACAUUGAUAGCAUUGACUAGAAAUAUCUUACAUAAAAACACUCGAGGUUAAAGGAUUACAUUAACAUUUCACUAAUCAGUUUAUUCUUAAGAGCCACUUCUAAUUCAGUAAGUGGCUCUGUUCUCGCAAGCAAACUGUCAAGCAGUUUGGACUUGUUAACCUUAUCCUUCAUAUUCAGUAACUGGAUCUGUUCUUGCAAGUCCUUCUGCUUGAGCUCCCACAUUUGCUGAAACCCUUGCAGAAUCUUCUCUUCUUCUCCCACUGCCCUUUUACCCUUGUUGGCUUUUGCUGCCUUAACGCCAAUAGGCCUAGCUGUUGGAGAAGCCUCUCCAUUGACACUCGGCAUAGAUGUUGAUGACUGAAAAGAUUGUUGUUCCCCCACCCUCUUUCUUUUUGCACCAGAACUUUGUUGACUACUUCCAUAAGUCCCACACCAUUUUUGAUCAUUCCUAAGCUCCCGCCAGGCAUGCUCCAAUGUGAACUUAACCGUGUAGUCGUUGAAAAAAAUUUCAUGUGCAGCCUUCAAAACAUCAUCUUCAUUCUGGCCACUGCUCUUCUGUUUGGAUGCAGCGUCAUAUGACCCCACAAACUUGCAGACACCUUCAUUUAUCUUUCCCCACCUUUGCUUACAGUGGCUUGGCUCUCUCUUAGUGAAACCAACCACCUUCGGACUUGCAUUAUAAUAAGAGGCAAUCCUCUUCCAAAACGUUCCUGCCUUUUGCUCAUUCCCAACUACUGGAUCCUUGGAGGUGUUAAGCCAUGAACUGAUGAGGACCAGAUCUUCAGCUGUUGACCACUUACACCUUUGCUUACGCUCCUCACCAGUUUGUGCACGUGAAGAAUAUCCUCCAACGGCUGGACUAGGUAACUGAGAUGGGUUUUCAUUGGCUGGACUAGGUGAAAAACUCAGUAACUGAGAUGGGUUUUCAUUGGCUGGACUAGGAGAAAAACUCAGUAACUGAGAUGGGUUUUCAUUAUUAGGUAACUGACUGGUUAGUAAGUCUAAAAAGCUAGAAGAUUGCCUUUGAGAAUCCAUAGGGAGGAGAAUGAUGAAGAACGAUGAAGGAGAUGAUAAGAAAGUGAAGGAGGAAUUUAUGUUUAUAGAUUGCAGAGAAGGAAGAGAAGAAAUGAAGUUUCAGAUGCAUUGAUGACAACCAACAAACAAGUUCACAUUUAUCUACUACAUUCACUUCUAGCUAGAUGGCAGAGAAAAAACGAGUUGACAUUUACCUACAAACUACACUUCUAUUAAUCACAUAACCAUUUUCUAUCUAGCCAUCAAUUUUGUUUAUCACACAACCAUUUUCUAACUCAAACCAACACAUUUAUUACACUCGAUUCAAUUCAAACCGGAACUUAAAGCAAUUAGUUUCCACAACCAAAAAACAGAGUAACACUAACCUUAAUUUUGCUCUGAACCUUUGGUCGAUGAACCUUGAUCCUGCUAUAUGUAAACAGAAAGACAGAAACAAAAAGUAUUUCAUACAAAGAAGCCAAACAACUAACAAAUCAAGCGUAAUCAAUCUAUUAUAAUGCAAUCUAUUACAUAGCAUUAACCAUUCCUGAUCCAUCUGUCUUAAAACAGUUUGUUCUUAAUUGAAACAAACUUAUUCAAACAAAAUGUUCUUCAUCCAUCAAUCUUAAAACGAAACAUACCGAAUCAAAAACAUCAGAAACAACAAUUAAAAUCUUCGAAUCAACAGAGCAUGCAGAUUCUAAAUCAUUCACAUGCAAAAUCCAUAGAAGAACUGCUUAACCUUUCAAUUUGAGAUGAGCCACCGAGUGAAAUCUUGGAGGAAAAGACCCACCGAGAGACAAAACCAACAAACUACAAAGAAAAACAACCGAUCAGACCAAGAAAAUGCUUAAUCUAAGACAUGCAAAACCAAUAACAGAACAACCACUUACCUUUCGAUUUGAGGAGAGGAACCGAGAGAGAGCUCCGACGCCUCGAGGAGAACCAGCGAGAGAGAGGUCGCCGACGGGAGCCACUGAACGAGACGUCGCCGAGACAGCGCCGACGAGAGCCACCGAAGGAGAACCGAAUCGCCUUUCGCAGAGAGAGAUUUUGAGAGAGCUUUCGAGAGAGAGAGAGAGAGAGAGAGAGGGAGAGAACGCGUUCGUAACCGAAGAAAGAGCGUCUCUACGCUUGACGCGUGUCAACGAAGAGGCGGGCCUUCUACGCCUUACGGAAGAGGCGAGUCUAUGCUUUUCUUCUUUUUUUUAUUAUUUUUUUUAAAUUUUGCCUUAAGAGGCGUCAUUAACCCCUGCGUUAAUGAUGGUCUUAAACUGCUUUAACUUUGAACUGUUAAAGCAGUAGCUUUCCAAAACUCGUAAUCGACGGUCCAUAUGGAGCGCCAUCACAAGACUACAAGAACUUCGAAGUUGUUCUACUAGUGGGUCUAGGAAUCGGAGCUACUCCUAUGAUCAGCAUUAUCAAGGACAUAAUCAAUAACUUGAAAGUCAAUACUGGAGAUGAAGAAGAAGGAAGAGGCAGUAACCGGAACCACAACACGGUAACACCUCCUUCUAUUUCUCCUGCAAGAAAAAGCGAGCUAUUCAGAACCAAGAGAGCAUACUUCUACUGGAGCACAAAAGAGCAAGGAACUUAUGAGUGGUUCAAGAGCGUGAUGGACGAAGUAUCCGAAGCAGAUGUUAACAACGUUAUCGAGCUGCAUAAUUACUGCACCAGCAUCUUCGAGGAAGGAGACGCGAGGUCCGCACUGAUCACGAAGCUCCAGUCACUAAACCAGGCCAAGAAUGGAAGGGACGUUGUGUCAGGGACCCGUGUCAUGUCCCAUUUCGGUAGACCAAAAUGGAGGAGCAUUUACGAAAGGAUCUCCGUGAAGCAUCCCAACACUAGAGUCGGUGAGUUUCUUCGCCCAUCUUAUCUUAUUGCUUCUUAUGCAUAAAUAGCUUGAGUGCGAAAAAAAUGUGAAAAUCUGGUGUAUUUGGCAGGAGUGUUUUUGUGACACCCGCCACUUUUGGAAUAUAAUAAAUUGAUAAAAGCGAAAAUAAUAAUACAACUCAAAUAAUAAUAAUCUUCAUAUCAUAAUAUAAAAGUCAAUAUGUUUCCAAAAGGCCUAAAAGCCCAACACCGAUAACAUUCGAAAUAUAAAAUACGACAUAAACCGAAAGUCUGAAAUAGGAAUAACAUAAACGAUAAAAGUCCAAAGGCCUAAAGGCCCGAUAAAGAUAAAAGCGGUAAAAGCGAUAGAAGCCCAAAAGCCCAAUAGCACCGGUCUGAUAAUCACUCCUGCUCAUCAGAAUCACCUAAAAGGGGAAAGAAUGAGGGGUGAGCGACAGGGGAAUCGCUCAGCGAGGUAUGGGAUGCUACCCCGAAGUCCAUGGACCCGGACAUAGCACUCCGAAUAAAUAUAAUUUAAUUCUAAUGCAUGUCAAACACAGUACCUAAAGUACUCAAGCAACAAACAAUGGUCCUAGCGAGGUGCGCACUCGCCGCCCACUAACAGGCCAACACACUACCGAAAAGGUGCUCGGUUCCGGUUUAACAAUCAAUAUCAAUAACGAACAACCAAGACUCUCAAAUGAAGCUUUGCGUAAGCAGAUCGAGAUGGAGAGUAUUGGUUUUCAUACAGCCACCAACGGGAUGUUCAUGUAUCGAAGCAGGAUUUGUGUGCCCAAUGAUGAGUUGUUAAGAAAGGAGAUAUUACGGCAAGCACACCACUCGAGUUUCUCGAUUCAUCCAGGAAAUACCAAGAUGUAUAGGGAUCUGAAGCGAUAUUACCAUUGGCCUGGUAUGAAGAGAGAUGUUGCUUCAACUGUAUCGCAAUGUCAGACGUGUCAGAUGGUUAAAGCCGAGCAUCAGGUUCCUAGCGGGUUAUUACAAAACCUGCCAUUACCGGAGUGGAAAUGGGACAUGGUAACUAUGGAUUUUGUGACGGGUUUGCCGACUACAUCAGGAGGGAAGAAUGCCAUAUGGGUAGUCGUGGAUAGACUUACGAAGUCAGCCCAUUUUCUAGCAGUUAAGAAGACAGACAGAGCUGAUCAGCUAGCACAGACUUACAUCAGCGAGAUUGUAAGAUUGCAUGGAGUUCCGGUCAGCAUUGUAUCGGAUCGGGAUACAAAGUUCACGUCUGAGUUUUGGAGAGCCUUCCAAAAGGCGCUUGGGAUGAAAGUUCAUAUGAGUACGGCUUAUCACCCGCAAACAGAUGGUCAGUCAGAGAGGACUAUUCAGACUUUGGAGGAUAUGCUCAGAGCUUGUGUUUUAGAUUGGGAAGGUAGUUGGGUGAAGUAUCUACCUCUAGCCGAGUUUGCCUACAACAACAGCUAUCAUUCGAGUAUUGGGAUGGCACCAUAUGAGGCUCUAUUUGGUAGGCCUUGUCGCACCCCACUUUGUUGGACGGAAGUGGGAGAGCGACGUGAGAUAGAACCAGCCAUGGUUCAAGAGACAGUCGAACAGGUUGAGAUGCUCAAGAUGCGGCUUAAGGAAGCCCAUGACCGUCAGAAGAGUUAUGCAGAUAAACGGCGAAGAGAUUUGGAGUUUCAGGUUGGCGACCUGGUAUACCUAAAAAUGAGGACAUUUCAGGGAGGAUCUAAGACUCGGAAGCUAAAGAAGCUUAAACCGAGAUAUAUGGGACCAUAUCCUAUUUUGGAGCGAAUUGGAGAAGUUGCUUACCGAUUGGAUUUAUCCGAAGAGUUAUCAGAUUUCCAUGACGUGUUUCAUGUUUCUGUUUUGAGGAAAGUCGUGAGAGAACCGGAGCUCAUUUUGCAGCAGCCGCCCAGUGACCUUGGUAGGAAUUUGCGUGCGCCGUGUCAGCCAGUAGAGCUAUUGGAUCGCCAAGUGAGAGCAGAUGAUAGUAUGAUGACUAUGUUGGUCAAAGUUCGUUGGGAGAGAGAUGGUAUUCAAGAGGAGACUUGGGAGUCCGAGCCUCAGAUGAGGAUUGAUUAUCCAGAACUUUUUCGGGAUGAUGUUGGGCAGUAAGUUCUUGACUCGAAUUCGGGACGAAUUCCUUAUUAGUGGGGGAGAAUUGUCACGACCUAACUUCUCCACUCCACCAACUCCACCCAUUAACACAUCUAUUAAACCCACCUUCUCCACUAAUAACCUGCAAUCAAAAGAAAAGAAAAAAAAAUCAGAGAGAAGAGAAGAGUAGAGAAGAGAAGGGAAGAUAAAAGAAGAGAAGGGGAGGUGAGAAGAAGGAUUUGGAGAGGUUGAGGUCGUCACCGGAGUUCGUUAUAGCCUCUACGCCCCGUGACCGUGUUGAGCUCGCCACCACCGUUAAUCGCAGGUAACCACCGCGAAAAUCCCAUGAUUUAAGUUCAGUUUCGGUUCCGUUUAGUAAUUCACCCAUAACUUCCUAACCAUUGAUAAUCUCGUGCAUCCAAGCCCAUCAUCGUGUUCCUCUCGUCGAGACGAAGCCGUAGACACCAAGCACGCCUCAAACGGAGCCCGGACGAAGCCGUACGCGCCUCCAGAAAACCGCCCUUCGCGCGCGCGUGAAACGCACGCGCCGCCGCCGGAAAUCGUCGCCACCGCAGCUCCGCCGCCGGACCACCGUCCGCCGCCGCAGCUCCGCCGUCGCCGCCGGUCAACUUUCCGGUAAGCCGCCGCCGUAGCUCCGCCGUCGCCGCCGGUGACCGACACCGGUGACUCACCGGCGACUCGGUAAUCUCGGCCGAGUCAACUCAGUGAGUCAACUCGGUUGACUCGGUUAACCGGUUGGUUAGCCGGUUUAAAUUGAUUUCAAUUCGGUUAGGUUAAACCGGUCGGUUAAAAUCAAUUAGAAAUCGGUUAGGAUAAACCGGAUUAAUUAAUUAAUUAAUUAAUUAAAUAAUUAAUUAAAUAAUUGAUAUUUGACCAGCGGAUUGACUUUUCCGUAAAUACCCGUUUUAAACCGUUCGAAAGGCGUUCUGACUCGAAAUUUCGAUCUGAUUUCAGAUUUGGAGUCCAUUUGAGCAGCUGGAGUUCAUAGAUACCACCUCUUAUUGUUGCUAAGGUGAGGGUCUAUUCCCGAACUCCUCUUAUUCGGCUUAGGACCUCGAAUAAGUAUAAUUUAUUUCUAAUGUGUUCCGUCUGUGUGAAAUCGAGUCUGUCAUUGCUUGUUUAGUUUUAGGUUCUUUACAUAAACCGGAACUAGGGGGUUAGAGGAUUCAACAUUGAUUGUUUCACUUAAUGUAAAUUCUUAGCUAGGAUUGUUUUUGUUUGGAG